ensembl:lncRNA
CAGCUAUAUUUAUCAGACGCACAACAUGUAUACCAUGGAACACUUCUUUUCUUCUCCUCCACUGGUCUGCUACAACUAAUUGUAUUUAUUCAUUUGGGACAGACAACACUUAAAAGAAUGGGCAACACGACCUCCUCCUCUAACAUCCACAAUCUCCUCAUCGUCUGUAUUACACUAGCUUUAUUAAUGUCCAUUAUCUUUAAUAUCUACGCGUUUUGUAUGAAGACACACAGAGACAUUGGUCAGCGUUGUUACAAUUUCUCGACUUGUCGUGACACUCUCCAAACCACACAGCAGGAUGGAGAAACAGAAGAGCAGAUCAAGGUUGGAGAAGAUGUGCAGUACGCUGCGGUGAAUUUCUCAAGAGAAAAAACAAAAAGAAAGACCACCGAGACCGAGAAUAAAGAAAUUCUUUACUCCAGUGUGGCAAACUUCGGCUUGGAGUGAUGCUCUCUUCUCUCUAUCCUCUUUAAACGUACAGUGAAUAUCACAUUUUAUUUACAACAAGAAAUAUUUAACAGUUAUCUUAACUGAUUUUGCCGUAUUUAUUAUAGAACCGUAAACACAUAGGGGAAGUGUAGCGGUUAAGGCUCUGGGUUAUUGAUCAGAAGGUCAGGGGUUCAAGCCCCAGAACUGCCAAGCUGCCACUGUUGGGCCCUUGAGCAAGGCCCUUAACCCUCUCUGCUCCAGGGGCACUGUAUCAUGGCUGAUUCUGCACUCUGACCCCAGCUUCCUGACAGGCUGGGGUAAGCAAAGAAAACAAUUUCACUGUGCUCUACUGUAUAUGUGUCCAUUAAAGACUCAUUAUGUAACAUAAUGUGUAAGGUUUAUUUAAAAGUUUCAGUUUUGAGAUUUUUUUUUGGAAAUCGUAGUUAAAUGUAUAAUAUUUAUGUGAUAUAUGUAUAAGCUGUAGAUCUGCCUUUAUAUUAUAAAACCUUGUUGUGAAUGAUGCAGUUGCAGUGACGACACAUUUGUCAUUUUAUUCAACACCCAAUUUAUUUACUUAAAACUUACUAAAAUCUUAUGAACUUAAACCAGAUGCCAAAUGUAUUUUAGAUAUUUUGUUCAGUAGUUUUGCAUUUUGGGGAAAGAAACAUUAUGAGAAAUACUUCACUGCGAUCUAUGUGCAAAUAUUGUUCAUUGCUGUGCAUAAACAAUGUAGUAUAUAUGUGUCUAAUUUUAUUAUCAAAUUCUGGAUUUUUUUCCGUUUGUUUUGUCAUUUUGAAGUAAUAACUCUACUCUUAUGCACACA